ACGGAAGGCAGCAGUGGGGAAUAUUGGACAAUGGGGGAAACCCUGAUCCAGCGACGCCGCGUGAACGAUGAAGUAUUUCGGUAUGUAAAGUUCUAUCAGCAGGGAGGAUAAUGACGGUACCUGACUAAGAAGCACCGGCUAAAUACGUGCCAGCAGCCGCGGUAAUACGUAUGGUGCAAGCGUUAUCCGGAUUUACUGGGUGUAAAGGGUGCGUAGGUGGCAUGGCAAGUCUGAAGUGAAAUGCGGGGGCUCAACCCCUGAACUGCUUUGGAAACUGUCAAGCUAGAGCGCAGGAGAGGAAAGCGGAAUUCCUAGUGUAGCGGUGAAAUGCGUAGAUAUUAGGAGGAACACCAGUGGCGAAGGCGGCUUUCUGGACUGUAACUGACACUGAGGCACGAAAGCGUGGGGAGCAAACAGGAUUAGAUACCCUGGUA
rnacentral:rRNA from 1 species